AGAAUCAACGCUGGCGGCGUGCCUAACACAUGCAAGUCGAACGAGAAAGUGGAGCAAUCCACGAGUAAAGUGGCGCACGGGUGAGUAACACGUGACUAACCUACCCUUGAGUGGGGGAUAACCUAGGGAAGCCUGGGCUAAUACCGCAUAAUACCUUCGGGUCAAAGGAGCAAUUCGCUUAAGGAGGGGGUCGCGGCCGAUUAGUUAGUUGGCGGGGUAAUGGCCCACCAAGACUGUGAUCGGUAU
rnacentral:rRNA from 1 species